CACGUAGGGUGCGAGCGUUGUCCGGAAUUAUUGGGCGUAAAGAGCUCGUAGGCGGUCUGUUGCGUCGGUAGUGAAAACUCAGGGCUUAACCCUGAGCCUGCUUCCGAUACGGGCAGACUAGAGGUAUGCAGGGGAGAACGGAAUUCCUGGUGUAGUGGUGAAAUGCGCAGAUAUCAGGAGGAACACCGGUGGCGAAGGCGGUUCUCUGGGCAUUACCUGACGCUGAGGAGCGAAAGUGUGGGGAGCGAACAGG
rnacentral:rRNA from 1 species